rnacentral:rRNA from 1 species
AUUGAACGCUGGCGGCAUGCCUUACACAUGCAAGUCGAACGGCAGCACGGGUGUUUGCACCUGGUGGUGAGUGGCGCACGGGUGAGUAAUACAUCUGAACAUGUCCUGUAGUGGGGGAUAGUCCGGUGAAAGCCGGAUUAAUACCGCAUACGAACUACGGGAGACUGCGGGGGCCCACUGGACCUCGCGACAUGGUGUUGGUUGAUGGCUGAUUAGCUAGUUGGUGGGGUAAAGGCCUACCAAGGCGACGAUCAGUAGCUGGUCUGAGAGGACGACCAGCCACACUGGGACUGAGACACGGCCCAGACUCCUACGGGAGGCAGCAGUGGGGAAUUUUGGACAAUGGGCGAAAGCCUGAUCCAGCAAUGCCGCGUGUGUGAAGAAGGCCUUCGGGUUGUAAAGCACUUUUGUCCGGAAAGAAAUCCUUGGCCCUAAUACGGUCGGGGGAUGACGGUACCGGAAGAAUAGGCACCGGCUAACUACGUG